CCCGUUGAUCCUGCGGGAGGCCACCGCUAUCCCCGUCCGACUAACCCAUGGUAGGUAGGGUGGGUUUUCCCGCCCGCCGAACAGCUGAGUAACACGUCGGCAACCUACCCUCGGGUGGGGUAUAACCCCGGGAAACUGGGGAUAAUCCCCCAUAGGGAAUGGGUGGUGGAACUCCCCCAUUCCCGAAAGGCGCUUGCCGCCCGAGGAUGGGCCGGCGGCCUAUCAGGUAGUUGGCGGGGUAACGGCCCGCCAGGCCGAAGACGGGUAGGGCCC
rnacentral:rRNA from 1 species